UACCCCAAAGGUGACCCCAAAGGGGAUGACCCCAAAAGUGAUGACCCCAAAGCUGACCCCAAAAGUCAUCCCAAACAUCACCCCAAAGGUGAGCAUGGGGUGACCCCAAAAGAGGCCUCAAAAGUGACCCCAAAGGUGACCCCAAAAGAGAUGACCCCAAAAGUCACCACAAAGGUGAGCACAGGGUGACCCCAAAAGUCACCCCAAAAGCCACCCCAAAGGUGACCCCAAAGGGGAUGACACCAAAGCUGACCCCAAAAGUCAUCCCGAACAUCACCCCAAAGGUAAGCACAAAGUGAUCCCAGAAGUGACCCCAGAGGUAAUCCCAAAGGUGACCCCAAAACGGGGAUGACCCCAAAGGUGACCCCAAAAGUGACCCCAAAAGACAUCCCGAACAUCACCCCAAAGGUGACCCCAAAAGUGACCCCAAAGGGGAUCACUCCAAAAGUCACCCUAAACAUCACCCCAAAGGUAAGCACAAGGUGACCCCAAAGGGGAUGACCCCAAAGAGGAUGACCCCAAAAGUCACCCCGAACAUCACCCCAAGGGUGAGCACAGGGUGACCCCAAAGGUGACCCCAAAAGUGACCCCCAAGGCGUUCCCAAAGCUGACCCCAAAAGUCACCCCGAACAUCACCCCAAAGGUGACCCCAAAGGGAAUGACCCCAAAAGUGAUGACCCCAAAAAUGACCCCAAAGGAGAAGACCUCAAAGGGGAUGGCCCCAAAAGUCACCUCAAAUAUCACCACAAAGGUGAGCACAGGGUGACCCCAAAAGGGACCCCAAAAAAGGGGAUGACUCCGAAGCUGACCCCAAAAUUGAUCCUGAACAUUACCCCAAAGGUGACCCCAAAAGGGAUGACCCCAAAAGGGAUGACCCCAAAGGUGACCCCAAAGGGGACCCAAAAAGAGACUCCAAGGGGAAUGACCCCAAAGGGGAUGACCCCAAAAGUCACCCCAAAAGGGGAUGAUCCAAAAGCUGACCCCAAAAGUCACGCUGAACAUCACCCCGAAGGUGAGCACAGGGUGACCCCAAAAGUCACCCCAAAAGCCACCCCAAAAGGGAUGACCCCAAAAGUGACCCCCAAAGGGGAUGAACCCAAAAGUCACCCCAAAACGGAUGACCCCAAAGGUCACCCCAAACAUCACCCCGAAGGUGAGCACAGGGUGACCCCAAAAGGGACCCCAAAAAGGGGAUGACUCCGAAGCUGACCCCAAAAUUGA
rnacentral:lncRNA from 1 species